UUCAUGCAUCUUGGCAAGAAUCAUGUGUCCCCAAGCCAAGCGAAUGGGGCAAAGAGUUUUUGUCAAGCUUAUGUCCACCCAGAUGUGGGCCCGCCAUUACACGAAUGCACGUAUAUAUUCAUGCCAGUGUUUACGCAAGAUACCAAGCAUUUUAUCUUGUUUGUAUUCUCGAUGCCCGAAUGGGCAGUCACCAUCUUUGACCCUCUAUACGAUGAUACCCCGUAUAUGACCAUCCAGCAAAUGUAUAGAGAAUUUGUUACAGUUGCGG
rnacentral:lncRNA from 1 species